CCUACGGGAGGCAGCAGUGAGGAAUAUUGGUCAAUGGACGAGAGUCUGAACCAGCCAAGUAGCGUGAAGGAUGACUGCCCUAUGGGUUGUAAACUGCUUUUAUAUGGGAAUAAAAUGUUCCACGUGUGGGACUUUGUAUGUACCGUAUGAAUAAGGAUCGGCUAACUUCGUGCCAGCAGCCGCGGUAAUACGGAGGAUCCGGGCGUUAUCCGGAUUUAUUGGGUUUAAAGGGAGCGUAGGGGGAUUGUUAAGGCAGUUGUGAAAGUUCGCGGCUCAACCGUAGAAUUGCAGUUGAAACUGGCAGUCUUGAGUACAGUAGAGGUGGGCGGAAUUCGGGGUGUAGCGGUGAAAUGCUUAGAUAUCACGAAGAACUCCGAUUGCGAAGGCAGCUCACUGGAGUGCAACUGACACUGAGGCUCGAAAGUGCGGGUAUCAAACAGGAUUAGAUACCCGAGUAGUC
rnacentral:rRNA from 1 species